AACGAACGCUGGCGGCAGGCCUAACACAUGCAAGUCGAACGGGCGUAGCAAUACGUCAGUGGCAGACGGGUGAAUAACACGUGGGAACCUUCCUCGUAGUGCGGAACAACUCAGGGAAACUUGAGCUAAUACCGCAUACGCCCCGGAGCAAUCCGGGGGAAAGAUUUAUCGCUAUGAGACGGGCCCGCGUCCGAUUAGCUAGUUGGUGGUGUAACGGACUACAAAGGCGACGAUCGGUAGCUGAUCUGAGAGGAUGAUCAGCCACACUGGGACUGAGACACGGCCCAGACUCCGACGGGAGGCAGCAGUGGGGAAUCUUGGACAAUGGGCGAAAGCCUGAUCCAGCCAUGCCGCGUGAGUGAAGAAGGCCUUAGGGUUGUAAAGCUCUUUUGGCAGGGACGAUAAUGACGGUACCUGCAGAAUAAGCCCCGGCAAACUUCGUGCCAGCCGCCGCAGUAA
rnacentral:rRNA from 1 species